rnacentral:rRNA from 1 species
UACGUAGGGUGCGAGCGUUAAUCGGAAUUACUGGGCGUAAAGCGUGCGCAGGCGGCGCGUUAAGACAGGUGUGAAAGCCCCGAGCUUAACUUGGGAAUUGCGCUUGUGACUGGCGUGCUGGAGUGUGGCAGAGGGAGGUGGAAUUCCACGUGUAGCAGUGAAAUGCGUAGAGAUGUGGAGGAACACCGAUGGCGAAGGCAGCCUCCUGGGCCAGCACUGACGCUCAUGCAUGAAAGCGUGGGGAGCAAACAGG